rnacentral:rRNA from 1 species
UACGAAGGGGGCUAGCGUUGCUCGGAAUCACUGGGCGUAAAGCGCACGUAGGCGGAUUGUUAAGUCAGGGGUGAAAUCCCGGAGCUCAACUCCGGAACUGCCUUUGAUACUGGCGAUCUUGAGUCCGGGAGAGGUGAGUGGAACUGCGAGUGUAGAGGUGAAAUUCGUAGAUAUUCGCAAGAACACCAGUGGCGAAGGCGGCUCACUGGCCCGGUACUGACGCUGAGGUGCGAAAGCGUGGGGAGCAAACAGGG